rnacentral:lncRNA from 1 species
CUUAUGAGCACUUGUUUUAAGCCAGCAGGUUUCAGAGGAAUGGAGAUGGAGACACAGCUCUGCUUCUGACCUCUGCUGUGCCAUAAACAGAAAACUUCAGGAAGGGUUAACCUGAACAGCUGCCCACAGCACUCCACCAGUUUCCCUUCUCCUUAAAGAAAGCACACAUUUCUCCAGCUGUGAGAGAAGACUUUGCCAGGAAAAUCGCCUCUGUCCAGGGAGCUUGGCGAUACAAAAACCACCUCAGUAUUUGCAAACCUACAGUGACAACAAAUGGAUUUCUUGUGUCACCUGGACCCUAAACCAAGUAGCAUCAGCUUUAACAACAUGACUGAAUGUAUAAGCUUGGGAAGUGAAUUUCCAGCCUCAGAAAAUGUUUCUACCUGCUCAACAUUUGUCAUGUUCGCUCUUUGUGGGAGGGUAAUCAGAUUAACAGGUUGUUUCCCAGUGAACUUCUACACUCUAAGGCAGAAAGAAACCUAUGGCAAAAUAAGCUUAUGCUAACAGCACUAUAAAUCCACUGUGAGCUACGCUGGGAGAUGGGCCUUCACUGAGGAGCCAGCUCUUGAAGGAGACGAGGCAGACGAGGAGAAGGCGACAAAUGGAGCAUCCUAAAACUGCCGCAACAGAAGUGGUGGUGGAAUUCCUGAGCCGUUUUCCAGAGAAUCCCACCAUUUUCUGUUCACUCAUCUCUCCUCCCCAUCCUUCCUCUCUGGCAGCCAGGAUGGGCCUGGGAUGUGCUCCUGAUGGAAAGAGGUGUGAGGAGAGAAUGGGCAAUACCUUCUCUGGAGCAAGAGGCUUGCCAGCAGAGUUUGUGCUCCACUUGAAGGCAAGUGAAC